AGUGUGACCUAUACAUAGGAAAGAAAGCAAGUAAUAGAAAUGACAGUGGGCCCAGUCAUGGUUUCAAUACAGCUCAGCAGAGCAAUGCAGCAAAUCCAGGUGGCAACACUAAAAUACUCAGAAAAGACCAACCAAGCAACCAAAGCAUAACAUCAGCAAUAGCACAACCAAUGUGAAUCAUGAGAACCCUCUGUCUUUAUUAAAUUUGGGGGAAGAAAUCAAGGUCACGAAAUCAAGUGACUGGUGAUGGGGCCUAGAAAUGAGUGUCUCCCCCCACCCCCGGUUUCCGCUCUGGCAGGCGGGUGUUAGCUGUGAGGUUAUUGUAAUUGUUUGGGGGCACUCCGAAGUGUGCAGUAGAAGACAAAGACGUUUAUUGAUUUAACUGAUAAAUGUUAUGUAUGUUCUGACUGCUCCACUGACUG
rnacentral:lncRNA from 1 species